CAAAGGAGCCAAGAUUAGGUAUCAUGAUAAUGAGAGUGUCCCUUUCAAUGGUAACUUGUGGUGAUGAGUAAUGCAUACCAAAAAGCUAGUGUGAGAGGCAUUCCUUUUGGUAAGUAAAAAAGUCCCAUACAUGAUGUAAUCAGUCAUAAUUUCCCAUUUUCAGUGCACACUUUGCUUUCUACUUGUAGCGAAAAACUAAAACCAUGUGAUAUUAAGUGUCUGUGCCCUAUGAAGUCCAUGAAGCAGGAAUCCUGUCUCUUCAUCAUUAUACAACUCCACCUAGAGUAAUACCUGCCACAGAGGAGUCUCCACAAUGAACAGAUUGGAAGAUGCUGCGGCAACAUUUUGUUAAGUACCAGAAUCCCAGAGAAAUCACCGGAAGCAAGUUAUCAGAGGAACAGAUGGUCGGUGUCCCUCCAGGUCUGAAGCAAUGAAGUUUCUGUUGCUGCACAUC
rnacentral:lncRNA from 1 species